rnacentral:tRNA from 2 species
GCGGGGCUAGUAAAACCGUACUACAUGUAACUUAAAAUCCCGCGACCUUAACAGUCGUGCCGGUUCGAUUCCGGCCCCAGGCACCA